rnacentral:lncRNA from 1 species
AUGUGUAAUGUGAUUGCCAUUGGAGAGAUUGACAAAGGAGCCCUGAGCACGUGGAGCCCACGUCUAUUCUCCAGUCUCUUUUGGAUCCAGCCAGUUCCUGAGAUGCACAAGUUCUCCUCAGCUGCACGUUGUGAGUUUCUUCCCAUGACUUCUCAAGACACCAAGUGUUGGAGUUGCCAGCAGUUAAUUCCACCCUUUCCAAGAAAGGUAUAAUGAUCCUGCUUUUGGUGAGUAUGAAAUCCGGAGACAAAUGUGGACAUGUUUUAACACUAAUCCUUGGUCAUCUCAGAAGCAAAAGAAAAAUGUUCUAAGGAUAUGUACAAUUAAACCUAGGGGUAGUCACACACACACAGAGUCUCAAGGGGUUGAUAAUACCACAGGAAUUUGGCCAUGAUUUUCGCUUGCCUGUUACGUAUAUGGGUUACUGUGUAAAGGCAAAGCCAUUGGUCCAAGUUCAUGCUGGGUUCAGAAGCACAGUAUUGAGAGAUAAAAACCUCAAAGAAGUGGGAAACAAAUUUUUGGAUAUGACCCACCUUACCAGAUUUUAAGGUAAAUGUACAUAUAAGUAUUAUGGAAAUUAUGGGUAAGAUGUUAUCACUCAGGAUGGAGUCCUGGAGACCAGAACUGAACAUGGGACUAGUCAGUAUUGAUCUUUGGGCAAAGUGCAAAGGAGAUCUGGUGUCCAAGUCCUGAGAAAGGGAGAUGAGGAAGCAAAGACUGCAAAGUCCAAGGGCACAAUUAGAGAGGACACAGGGAAGAGAAUCCAAAGGCAGGACC